UCAACACAACGUGGAGGUAAUUGAUUAUUAGUUGAUUUAACUGUGUGAAAUUUCCAAGUCUGAAUAUUUGUUAAGUGUUUAUAUAAUACUGUUCAUUAUUUUAUUAGUAGUAAACGAAUGGACAUUUACGAGUACAAGUGGAGAAGAACUGACAAACAAGGACACACUGAAAAAAGUACAUCCUAAAUUACGAUCAAGAGGAUCAACCACUGUCCCUGUACCAAGAGGAGAGAAAGCCAUCUAUGAACACCAUGAGGUUGUAGAAAUACAUCCCAAAUUAACGGUACCAGUAAGAUCACAAGGAUCAACCACUGAGGACAUCUAUGAGCAUGAUGAAGUUAUCG